AUUGAACGCUGGCGGCAGGCCUAACACAUGCAAGUCGAGCGGAUGAAGGGAGCUUGCUCCUGGAUUCAGCGGCGGACGGGUGAGUAAUGCCUAGGAAUCUGCCUGGUAGUGGGGGAUAACGUCCGGAAACGGGCGCUAAUACCGCAUACGUCCUGAGGGAGAAAGUGGGGGAUCUUCGGACCUCACGCUAUCAGAUGAGCCUAGGUCGGUUUAGCUAGUUGGUGGGGUAAAGGCCUACCAAGGCGACGAGCCGUAACUGGUCUGAGAGGAUGAUCAGUCACACUGGAACUGAGAAACGGUCCAGACUCCUACGGGAGGCAGCAGUGGGGAAUAUUGGACAAUGGGCGAAAGCCUGAUCCAGCCCUGCCGCGGGUGGGAAGAAGGUCUUCGGAUGGUAAAGCACUUUAAGUUGGGAGGAAGGGCAGUAAGUUAAUACCUUGCUGUUUUGACGUUACCAACAGAAUAAGCACCGGCUAACUUCGUG
rnacentral:rRNA from 1 species